AGCAGCUUCUCCACUGUCAUCAAACUGGCCAUGUCCUGGCCCCGUCUCCACCAACCUUUGUGUGACAAAAACAAGGACAAAUUCCUGCUACUAAGACAUGCUGUUAACUCAGUCUGACUGGAAGAAUUUAGGACCACUGCAUCCUGUCUUAAUCCAAGGGUGGAUCCUUAGGGUGUUGACUGCUGCAGUUUCAAGCUUACAUCUGCACCCUGCAGAAUCC
rnacentral:lncRNA from 1 species